CAAUAGCGUAUAUUUAAGUUGUUGCAGUUAAAAAGCUCGUAGUCGGAUUUUGGCUGAGAACGAACGGUCCGCCGUUAGGUGUGCACUGUUUGGUCUCAGCUUCCUGGUGAGGAGGUGUGCUUCACGGCCACUUAGUCACCGUGGUCACUUUGAAAAAAUUAGAGUGUUCAAAGCGGGCUUACGCUUGAAUAUAUUAGCAUGGAAUAACACCAUAGGACUCCUGUCCUAUUUCGUUGGUCUCGGGACGGGAGUAAUGAUUAAGAGGAACAGUUGGGGGCAUUCGUAUUUCAUUGUCAGAGGUGAAAUUCUUGGAUUUAUGAAAGACGAACUUCUGCGAAAGCAUUUGCCAAGGAUGUUUUCAUUGA
rnacentral:rRNA from 1 species